GGUUAAGCGACUAAGCGUACACGGUGGAUGCCCUGGCAGUCAGAGGCGAUGAAGGACGUGCUAAUCUGCGAUAAGCGUCGGUAAGGUGAUAUGAACCGUUAUAACCGGCGAUUUCCGAAUGGGGAAACCCAGUGUGUUUCGACACACUAUCAUUAACUGAAUCCAUAGGUUAAUGAGGCGAACCGGGGGAACUGAAACAUCUAAGUACCCCGAGGAAAAGAAAUCAACCGAGAUUCUCCCAGUAGCGGCGAGCGAACGGGGAGCAGCCCAGAGCCUGAAUCAGUGUGUGUGUUAGUGGAAGCGUCUGGAAAGGCGCGCGAUACAGGGUGACAGCCCCGUACACAAAAAUGCACAUGCUGUGAGCUCGAUGAGUAGGGCGGGACACGUGGUAUCCUGUCUGAAUAUGGGGGGACCAUCCUCCAAGGCUAAAUACUCCUGACUGACCGAUAGUGAACCAGUACCGUGAGGGAAAGGCGAAAAGAACCCCGGCGAGGGGAGUGAAAAAGAACCUGAAACCGUGUACGUACAAGCAGUGGGAGCACGCUUAGGCGUGUGACUGCGUACCUUUUGUAUAAUGGGUCAGCGACUUAUAUUCUGUAGCAAGGUUAACCGAAUAGGGGAGCCGAAGGGAAACCGAGUCUUAACUGGGCGUUAAGUUGCAGGGUAUAGACCCGAAACCCGGUGAUCUAGCCAUGGGCAGGUUGAAGGUUGGGUAACACUAACUGGAGGACCGAACCGACUAAUGUUGAAAAAUUAGCGGAUGACUUGUGGCUGGGGGUGAAAGGCCAAUCAAACCGGGAGAUAGCUGGUUCUCCCCGAAAGCUAUUUAGGUAGCGCCUCGUGAAUUCAUCUCCGGGGGUAGAGCACUGUUUCGGCAAGGGGGUCAUCCCGACUUACCAACCCGAUGCAAACUGCGAAUACCGGAGAAUGUUAUCACGGGAGACACACGGCGGGUGCUAACGUCCGUCGUGAAGAGGGAAACAACCCAGACCGCCAGCUAAGGUCCCAAAGUCAUGGUUAAGUGGGAAACGAUGUGGGAAGGCCCAGACAGCCAGGAUGUUGGCUUAGAAGCAGCCAUCAUUUAAAGAAAGCGUAAUAGCUCACUGGUCGAGUCGGCCUGCGCGGAAGAUGUAACGGGGCUAAACCAUGCACCGAAGCUGCGGCAGCGACACUAUGUGUUGUUGGGUAGGGGAGCGUUCUGUAAGCCUGUGAAGGUGUGCUGUGAGGCAUGCUGGAGGUAUCAGAAGUGCGAAUGCUGACAUAAGUAACGAUAAAGCGGGUGAAAAGCCCGCUCGCCGGAAGACCAAGGGUUCCUGUCCAACGUUAAUCGGGGCAGGGUGAGUCGACCCCUAAGGCGAGGCCGAAAGGCGUAGUCGAUGGGAAACAGGUUAAUAUUCCUGUACUUGGUGUUACUGCGAAGGGGGGACGGAGAAGGCUAUGUUGGCCGGGCGACGGUUGUCCCGGUUUAAGCGUGUAGGCUGGUUUUCCAGGCAAAUCCGGAAAAUCAAGGCUGAGGCGUGAUGACGAGGCACUACGGUGCUGAAGCAACAAAUGCCCUGCUUCCAGGAAAAGCCUCUAAGCAUCAGGUAACAUCAAAUCGUACCCCAAACCGACACAGGUGGUCAGGUAGAGAAUACCAAGGCGCUUGAGAGAACUCGGGUGAAGGAACUAGGCAAAAUGGUGCCGUAACUUCGGGAGAAGGCACGCUGAUAUGUAGGUGAAGCGACUCGCUCGUGGAGCUGAAAUCAGUCGAAGAUACCAGCUGGCUGCAACUGUUUAUUAAAAACACAGCACUGUGCAAACACGAAAGUGGACGUAUACGGUGUGACGCCUGCCCGGUGCCGGAAGGUUAAUUGAUGGGGUUAGCGGUAACGCGAAGCUCUUGAUCGAAGCCCCGGUAAACGGCGGCCGUAACUAUAACGGUCCUAAGGUAGCGAAAUUCCUUGUCGGGUAAGUUCCGACCUGCACGAAUGGCGUAAUGAUGGCCAGGCUGUCUCCACCCGAGACUCAGUGAAAUUGAACUCGCUGUGAAGAUGCAGUGUACCCGCGGCAAGACGGAAAGACCCCGUGAACCUUUACUAUAGCUUGACACUGAACAUUGAGCCUUGAUGUGUAGGAUAGGUGGGAGGCUUUGAAGUGUGGACGCCAGUCUGCAUGGAGCCGACCUUGAAAUACCACCCUUUAAUGUUUGAUGUUCUAACGUUGACCCGUAAUCCGGGUUGCGGACAGUGUCUGGUGGGUAGUUUGACUGGGGCGGUCUCCUCCUAAAGAGUAACGGAGGAGCACGAAGGUUGGCUAAUCCUGGUCGGACAUCAGGAGGUUAGUGCAAUGGCAUAAGCCAGCUUGACUGCGAGCGUGACGGCGCGAGCAGGUGCGAAAGCAGGUCAUAGUGAUCCGGUGGUUCUGAAUGGAAGGGCCAUCGCUCAACGGAUAAAAGGUACUCCGGGGAUAACAGGCUGAUACCGCCCAAGAGUUCAUAUCGACGGCGGUGUUUGGCACCUCGAUGUCGGCUCAUCACAUCCUGGGGCUGAAGUAGGUCCCAAGGGUAUGGCUGUUCGCCAUUUAAAGUGGUACGCGAGCUGGGUUUAGAACGUCGUGAGACAGUUCGGUCCCUAUCUGCCGUGGGCGCUGGAGAACUGAGGGGGGCUGCUCCUAGUACGAGAGGACCGGAGUGGACGCAUCACUGGUGUUCGGGUUGUCAUGCCAAUGGCACUGCCCGGUAGCUAAAUGCGGAAGAGAUAAGUGCUGAAAGCAUCUAAGCACGAAACUUGCCCCGAGAUGAGUUCUCCCUGACUCCUUGAGAGUCCUGAAGGAACGUUGAAGACGACGACGUUGAUAGGCCGGGUGUGUAAGCGCAGCGAUGCGUUGAGCUAACCGGUACUAAUGAACCGUGAGGCUUAACCUU
rnacentral:rRNA from 1 species